rnacentral:tRNA from 1 species
GGGCCCGUGGCGCAACUGGAUAGCGCGACUAGGCAACUCGCAAGGCUUCGGACCAGUUGGUUUGAGGGUUCGAAUCCCUCCGGGCCCG